rnacentral:rRNA from 1 species
GAUGAACGCUGGCGGCGUGCUUAACACAUGCAAGUCGAACGGAAAGGCUCCUGCUUGCAGGGGUACUCGAGUGGCGAACGGGUGAGUAACACGUGGGUGAUCUGCCCUGCACUUCGGGAUAAGCCUGGGAAACUGGGUCUAAUACCGGAUAGGACGAUGGUUUGGAUGCCAUUGUGGAAAGUUUUUUCGGUGUGGGAUGAGCUCGCGGCCUAUCAGCUUGUUGGUGGGGUAAUGGCCUACCAAGGCGUCGACGGGUAGCCGGCCUGAGAGGGUGUACGGCCACAUUGGGACUGAGAUACGGCCCAGACUCCUACGGGAGGCAGCAGUGGGGAAUAUUGCACAAUGGGCGCAAGCCUGAUGCAGCGACGCCGCGUGGGGGAUGACGGCCUUCGGGUUGUAAACUCCUUUCGCUAGGGACGAAGCGCAAGUGACGUUACCUGGAGAAGAAGCACCGGCUAACUACGUG